CUUCUCCUGAGGUCAGUGAGAAUAAAGCAAACGCUCCAAACCCAACCUAAAGGGGUGGUGCUCUUUACAUACACAAGUACAACAUAAGAGGGAAGUCCAACUAUUUCACUGAAGUUGUAACUCGUAUUUGAAAGUUGCACACUUCAUUUCCUGCACCAUUCUGAGAUUGCAUUCCAGCGUUUACCAUGGUGACCAUGAUAAGAGGGGCGAGGUAUGAGCGGGAGUUUUAUGUUUGCAGAUGUGGUGUCAUUAAGACAAGCCAGACACCUGUGUGUUAUCGGAGACAGGUGGAUCUGUCUUCCUGCCUUCUUACGUUUCUUUAAGCUCAAAAGUGCAUGGCAACCUGUAACUUUCAUAUAUGGAGAAGAGCAACAUUAACAUUCUAUAGAAUUUGUUUGCAUUCCAUGGAUGGAAGAAUAAAAUACAGGUUUGGAAAAGCAUAAAGAUACAAAACUGACUUCCUGAAUGAGGUCACUGCUGUUCAAACACCCUCAUUUCCAAUCCACACGCCUGGGUCCAAUCAGAUUGCACCUACAACCAUGCUUAUAUACUACUUUAUCAUAUUAACCAACAUGUUAGCAGUACAGUUUUGCUAGUAAGUUUACACAGAAUCUGUUAGAUUUGUCAUGGGAUUUUUUUUUUUUUUUUUUUUAAAGUGAUCAUAAAAUUGCAUUUUAUUUAGCACACUAAUAAAGCUACUUUAUAAAAAUGUAAUUUGCCUCAAUAAAAUAUUUAUCAAACAAAUAAGGAAUGGGAAAUGUGUAAAACUUUCUAGGCCUGCAUAGGUACACUAUACUGUUCAAAGUUUGGUUUUUAUAAGAUUUUUUUUUAUAUAAGAUUUUUAUAUUUUUGUAGUCUCUUAUGCUUAACAACCCUGCAUUUAUUUGAUUAAAAAAUACAUUAAAAAGUAAUAUUGUGAAAUAUUAUUGCAAUUUAAAAUAACAGUUUCUGUCAGCAUAUUUCAGAAUGUUGUAACUUUCAUCAGACAUCUUCAGUGUCACAUGAUCCUUCAGAAAUCAUUCUAAUAUGCUGGUUUGGUGCUCAAGAAACAUUUCUUAUUAUUAUCAAUGUUGAAUACACAUGUGCUUCUUAAUGUUUUUGUUGAAACCAUUAUAUUUUUAUCACAAUUCUUUGAUAGUUCAACAGCAUUUAUUUGAAAUAGAAAUAUUUUGUAACAUUAUAAAUGUCUAUACUGUCAAAUUUUUUUUAAAUAAUCCUUGCUGAAUAAAAGUAUUAAUUUAUUUCACUGUAGUGAACGAUAGUGUAUGUAGAUAAGGUUAUUUAUACUAUAAAUAAUUUAAAGUAAACAGAAAUGAAACAGUACUGCAUUCACUGCUUUCAAAUUAAGGUUAAUUCCCUUGAAAAAAGGUCAACUUUUAAGUCCUUUAAGAACUUUAAGACCCUAAGUUCACGUUUGGCCAUAUCCCAAGAGGGCACUUGAUAAUAACAUGACCUAUUUUAUAGCUCAACAACAACUGCACAUGAACCAUAAACCCCUUCCUCAACUUUCUUUGCCCUCUUUCCAGACAGGUAGACAGACGUGUUCCUGCAGGAAUGUCCCAGUGUUUUGCUUUUGAGAACUACUUAGGUAUGUCACCCCAGGAUGAAAAUACCAGCUACAUUCCUCUCUAGCACCUUUCUGUCCAAUCAGCUCUUAGGAUUAAAGAUGUGGGCUGCUGUGGGGCGAUAAGAGCAGGUUUGCUGUUUACACACUGGUGGAUCUUUGUUAGAUGACCCUGACUAUGGCUUUAAUCAUCAAGACCUCUUGAUGCAGGUAAAAGCUGCAAUGUUCAGGCAUGUUCAGACAUCUACAACAAACAAAGAGGCCAGACCUUUCAUAAAGACUGCAGUGGGUUAUUAACAUGCAGGAAAGAAAUCAAAUGGGGGAAGGAAAAGGGGGAGA